rnacentral:rRNA from 1 species
AACGAACGCUGGCGGCAUGCCUAACACAUGCAAGUCGAACGAGACCUUCGGGUCUAGUGGCGCACGGGUGCGUAACGCGUGGGAACCUGCCCUUAGGUUCGGAAUAACUCCCCGAAAGGGGUGCUAAUACCGGAUAAUGUCUUCGGACCAAAGAUUUAUCGCCUUUGGAUGGGCCCGCGUUGGAUUAGCUAGUUGGUAGGGUAAAAGCCUACCAAGGCGACGAUCCAUAGCUGGUCUGAGAGGAUGAUCAGCCACACUGGGACUGAGACACGGCCCAGACUCCUACGGGAAGCAGCAGUGGGGAAUAUUGGACAAUGGGCGAGAGCCUGAUCAAGCAAUGCCGCGUGAGUGAUGAAGGCCUUAGGGUUGUAAAGCUCUUUUACCCGGGAUGAUAAUGACAGUACCGGGAGAAUAAGCUCCGGCUAACUCCGUG